rnacentral:lncRNA from 1 species
GUCUGCCACAGGGCUUAGGGAUGUAGAAUUUUGUCAUCUGUCUUCAGAAACAUCUUGCCUGCUAAAGUACAAGUAAAUGCCUCAACUCAUUGGGCUGCGCUUUAGUAAAAUGGCUGAUAGUUGAAGGUCUGUACAUGUUAUUGAUGGCUUUUUUACAGUAUGUGUCUUGAUCCAGGAAAUUUGUUUUUAUCUCUUUGUUAUGUGUUUAAAGGUCUAUGCAGAGGAGGGGAGGAAGAGGCACUGCCUUUAAAAUAAUUAAGAGAAAGAGAAGAGGGGUGCCCUGCCUCUAAAAUGAGUGUCUCUGGUGACCAUCACAUCAAGGCUAAGAGCCCAAUCCUCCUGGAGAGACCAGCCUCCCCUGUACCCAGCUGUGUGUCCAUGAAGAGUGACAGGUCUAUGACUCAACCUAUUCAGUUCACUGAUGAAAGGUACAGUAUGUUUAGCUCUAGGACAUAUAGAGCACAUUGCAAAAGUAUUCAGACCCCUGACUGAUUCUCUCGUAUUACUGAAUUACAAAUGGUGUAUUGAAAUAUCUUUUGUUGGGAGAUAUUUGUAAGGGGGAAUAAGAAACCUGUUGCUUGCACAGGUAUUCAACGCCCAACGUGAAUAUUGAAUUCAAAUGACAAUUGCCUGGUUCGUCACUGUAUUUUACCAAUGUCACACUAACAAACCUCUUAAUACAGAGGCUUGAUGUUUUAGAACAAAUUGUGGAUGUGAAUCCCAUAUAGUGUGUUAGAUUCUGUCCACUUGAUCUUCUUUAGCUGGUACAUGUUCUCCAAUAAUCAAAAGGCUAAGACAGUAUUUCAUGCCUGAAGAGGCGGUCAGUGAUCAUAGCCAAUCCCCUACACAGUCUCUAUAUCCUCCAAUCAGAAAUGGGUAUCCUACAGAAUAGGCUUCUAUGGUCUGUAGUGUCCAUGGGUCUAUCCAUAAGUCUUAUGAGACACACACACUCACACACAUUGGAUGUCUUGGAGGUCCCAGCUCUACACAGGAUCUGUGUGUGGGGCCCCAUCGGUAGUUGGAACCAGAUGUUACCUACAAUUGAAGUCUGAUGUUUACAUACACCUUAGCCAAAUACAUUUGAAUAUACCCG